AAGAAAAGAAAAACCCACGAUCCCAAACGUCGGCUUCAUCAACAAUCCUAACCUAACUGUUUUUUAUCUACAGCAACCAUAACUGCUUUGAAUCUACGUAUGUGGUUUCUCUUAUUUUGAGUUUGUAAAGGUGGCUACACCAGUUCAUGAAAUCCGACAAUUUCAAGCAACUCGAGGCAAUGAAAUUUGAAAGUUAUGGGAAAUUCCGGAUUGCUUCAAGCCUAAAAUACCAUAUUUCAUAGAAUUGAUCUUACAAGAUGCAAGGGACAAUGACUCUGAAGAGGAUGAGGAUAUGAUAACAAAACCUCAUGAUGCGGCUAUAGUUUAUGCAAGAAAUAGUGAUUAUGUCAGUCAUCUUGAGGAAUGUACAACUUACUUCAUGACUGAACAACUUUUUAUACUUUCAUCUGUAUGGCCAUGUUCAUUUCAUUUGACCACCUUUAAUUUUGUGAUUUUCAUCUUUGCCAAUAAAUCUUGAAUUUUAAAGUUUCAUCAAGUAGACAUUUUUUUUUCAUCGUGAGAUUAUUAUUUCUUUUCCUCUCUGCACAACAUGGCUUAAUUGCCCUAUUAAAGGCGGGGAGAGAGGUAUGGUUUUGCUUGAAGUUGAGCUUGCUACAUAAGUAUUUUCUCUUAGUGGUUGUUGAACGUUUGUAUCUUUCAGAAGCAACUCUUUGAAAGGAUUUGAGAAGUAUCAAUUUUCCUUUGUGAUUAUACCCUUAUUCUUUCUUUUCUUUUGGCAAAUUUAUUGUCCUUUUAUAUUGUAUGGUAAAAUAUUUUCUUGAGAAUAAGAGCCAAGAAGAAUGACAAAUAUCAUGAUUUGGUUGGAAAAGACCGCUGAUUUUUCUUCCUUAAAAUGAAAGAUAAUUAGGAUUACAGAUGAUUCUCUGCAAUAACUUCACCCCAACAUAUCUCUGUUUGCUUUUUUAAAUCAAUCUUUAUUUACUGAUUAACCAUCAAAUGAUAAAUUUUCAUGUUACACUACACUUUUCUGUUAUGCGAAAGCUAUAAGCAAUACAUGACAACUUUAACUGUUGAGGUUUUGUUUUUGCUAGACAUUCAAAGCUUCUGUCAGAUUCUUUCAAAUUAAUAUAUUUAAGUAAGUCUUUUGGUAGUGUUUUGACUACCAAAAGAAAGGAUUUUGAGACAGUUGUGUAUUAAAGUUAUGUAUGGUGCUAGCAAUGUUCACUCUCUAUCCAUUUUUGUAUUUUGUGUUUGUGUAAAUAUACAUCUUCACAUAAUUAAAUUGCAUAUCUAUAGUCUUUAUAUUUAAGGCUACAAUCUUUAUGUUUCUUAAGUUGCAAAUUUGAGUUUGUUGCUUUGUGUAUUUGAGUUACUAACUCAUUCAAGUUUACUCAAUAAAAGUAAAAUCUGGAGUAGUUGCUCUGUUUAUAUGACUUAUUAAUUCGUUCAACUCUAUGUUGAAAAUGAAAAAUCUACUCGAUAAAAGUACUAUUAGUAUAAAUUAAGUUUCAAAUACGGAGUAAUUGCUUAUGUGACUUAUUAAUUCGUUCAACUCUAUAUUGAAAAUGAAAUAUUUGGAGUUGUUGCUCUGUUUGUUUGUCUUACUAAUUCGUUAAACUCUAUUAUUGAUAAGUAGUAUUAUUAUAAAUUCAAGUAUUCAAUAAUAUAAAUUAGUAUUAGUUAAUCUGGAUUUUCUGUGUUACUGAUUCAUUAUACCUUCUCUGUUUUUUAAUGUGAUUAAGUUGCAAAUCUGAAGUUCUUUCUCUAUUUCUUUCACUUAUUAAUUUUUUCAGCUCUACUAUUGAAAAGUAAUAUUACUACAAAUAUUAUCAAUCUUUGCUGCUACAUUUUGUUUAAUUCAAAUGUAAUUAUGAAAUGACUACUUUUUUUCAGUUCAUAUUAUCGAUGUGGUUGGUUGUCUAUGUGCCAUUGCUGACAUGGAGAGUGUUGGAAAUAAGUGAAAAAAAGGGACAUCGAAGUUGUUACUGAUUAGGCUGUUUUGCAAAAU